UACGUAGGGUCCAAGCGUUAAUCGGAAUUACUGGGCGUAAAGCGUGCGCAGGCGGAUUGCUAAGUCAGGGGUGAAAUCCUGGAGCUCAACUCCAGAACUGCCUUUGAUACUGGCGAUCUCGAGUCCGGGAGAGGUGAGUGGAACUGCGAGUGUAGAGGUGAAAUUCGUAGAUAUUCGCAAGAACACCAGUGGCGAAGGCGGCGGCCUGGACCGAUACUGACGCUGAGGUGCGAAAGCGUGGGAGCAAACAGG
rnacentral:rRNA from 1 species